UACGAAGGGGGCUAGCGUUGUUCGGAAUUACUGGGCGUAAAGCGCACGUAGGCGGAUCGAUCAGUCAGGGGGUGAAAUCCCAGGGCUCAACCCUGGAACUGCCUUUGAUACUGUCGAUCUGGAGUAUGGAAGAGGUGAGUGGAAUUCCGAGUGUAGAGGUGAAAUUCGUAGAUAUUCGGAGGAACACCAGUGGCGAAGGCGGCUCACUGGUCCAUUACUGACGCUGAGGUGCGGAAAGCGUGGGGAGCAAACAGG
rnacentral:rRNA from 1 species